UACGUAGGGUGCGAGCGUUGUCCGGAAUUACUGGGCGUAAAGAGCUUGUAGGCGGUUUGUCGCGUCUGCUGUGAAAUUUCGGGGCUCAACCCCGAACUUGCAGUGGGUACGGGCAGACUAGAGUGUGGUAGGGGAGACUGGAAUUCCUGGUGUAGCGGUGAAAUGCGCAGAUAUCAGGAGGAACACCUAUGGCGAAGGCAGCUCUCUGGGACGGUACUGACGCUGAGACGCGAAAGCGUGGGGAGCGAACAGG
rnacentral:rRNA from 1 species